AGAUUCGCCCCAGAACGCUAAGGAAGUGGAUGUAAGAAGACAAGGAGAGGAAAUUGGCCACCUCCAUGUCCACUUGCUUACAUUAUCCUAAGGAAGAGCAACCUAAAAUGCAAAUCUGUCCGUUCACACGGGGAAGUUCUGCUGCAGACAGUGCAUUAUUCAUUUUGCUGGCCUGGGUGUGUUCCUCAAAGGUGAUUUUAACAGUGGCUUCAAACGGAAAACAAUGGAUUCUAUCUCCAGCCUCCUAGAGAGGCUGAUUCAUGUAUCCUGCCAUGUUGGGAGAUUAAUACAUCUGAGAACAAUUUAUCCAGAAUAUCCACACGCACCCGCUGGAUUAAAAAAAAGAAAAGGUCUGCCACCCUCAUCACACCGAUAAAGACAGCUCACCGGCUGGGACUCCUAAGAUCUACCCCAGGCCAGGGAAGGGAGGCAGGAAAGGAAAGACCACACUGCACAUUUGCGAGAUUUAGAUUUCUAAUCUUAGGAGCACACAGAGGUCAGAGAACAGCACAUAUCCCCCGGAACUGAAGUGAUGAGGAGUUGUAAGUAGCCAAAGAAACCAUGCCUGGGUCCUCUGCAAUGGUAGGGUAUGCUUCUAGCUCACGAGCC
rnacentral:sRNA from 1 species